AUAGAUAUAACGAUCAUCUAAACAUCUUUUUAAAACUAUAUGUAACUUUGCUGAAAUAUUCAAAUGUUUAUUAACCGCGUGCCAUCAGUGUGACCAUCCGAUCCAAUUAUAAUAUUUUAUUAUUAUUGUAAAAAUAAUAAAUUACAGAUCUUAUCAAAAAACGAAAAUCACUUGAUAUUACUUAUAUUCCCAAAUACAAACAACAAAUUCGAACAUCAAUACUUAUAAUAAUUAAUAUUUAUUUUUACCUAGAUACCUAUACUUAUACUUAGAACAGAGUACUUACUCAUAGUAUUAAAUUAUUGUACAAGAUUAAUAUCUAAAGUUUAAACAUAUCGUAUAAUUGUGUCAAGUGUGGAAGGACAUCAAAUGAUGGCGUAUCUCUUUAUGAGUGAGUAAUAUUUUGUUUUAUUUUUUUCAUUUAAAUUCUCAAAGAAUUAUUUUCACACCAAUAAUCAAAUUAGUUUCAUUAAGUACAAUCAAAAUUACACACUUAUAUUGAUAAAUUUCAGGUUUCCAGAAGCGGUAGACUGUUGUAAUGAAUGGAUCAAAAUUUUAGGUUUAAAAUUAUGUAAACCAUCAGAUGUUAUGUUAUGCAGUGACCAUUUCACUGUAGACGAAUUCAAGACGAAUUCUGAAACAAAAAAUGCUUGAUUAGUACCACUGCACCGUUUGGCAUUGGAUUUAAAUAAACGUUUUAUAUAAAAGAUUUUAUCAUUAAGUAGCAUAAAUAACUUUAUGAAUUUGUCUGUGUAAAUAAGUGUUUGUAUCUUUUAUACACUGCGCACGGUGUAGUCAUAGUAGGCACUCGACUACUUUGCAAACAUUUUUUUUUUUCUCUAUCCGAAUACUUAAAAUUAUAAUAAUUAUAUUAUGUUUCACUUCACAGAGUAAAUGGUACAAUUUUAAAUUAAAUUAUUAAAAUUACUUCAAGUAGGUAUUAGUGUACACUUCAACCUAGAAAAGUUUAAUUUAAUUCAACACGUUAGCAGUAUACUUAAAUUUAAAACUAAAACCGAAGUUAUAUAAAUUAUAGCUUUAUUUUCACCAGAACCAAUCGAAGAAGUUUGUCAAAACAAUGUUCUAUACAAUUUCUCUGGUUUAUGUGCAUCUGACAUCGGCUUCUUUACUCUAUGUGGAUUUUUGCUCAAUUCUAAUUUAAUGAAUUUUAAUAAGAAAUCAAAUUGUUUAAAAUUGUAUACUAAAGUAUUUUCGAAAUUUCAUUUCAUUUUUUUUUUUUUUUAAGUGCCUGGUUUUUAAAAUUUUAAAUAAUCCUUCUUCGUCCCUUAUUUUGAAAAUGUCAUUAAUUGGUUUUCUAGAGAAGAAUAUGUUUCAUAAACAAAACUAAACAAUUUUAAUAGAAUAGACCAAAUGAUAAAUAUUAAAAAAAAAUUGUAGGCACUUUAGAUGUAGACAUUAAGUUUUUAAUUUUAAUCUUUUAAGUUAGUAUGUUAUCCAGUCAGUAUUAGCUCAAGCCAUGGCCAUAACUACCCUGACAGUAAUAACUGCGCAUCUUUAUGGUUAAGUAUUUUGGAAUGUAGUUUUCACCAAAUAAUUAGUAAGGCCUAAGAAAUCCUCUGUUGAUUUUCAGUACAAUUGAUGAAAACUUAUAGUUGUUUUAUUCGUUGGGAACUUAUGCUGCUAUGAUACUCCAGUUUGUAUAGAUUUAUUUUUGAUACAUCUUAUACUUACCUACAUAUUUAUUUUUUUUUAUUUUUUAGUACUAUGGCUACAGAGACUAAAUUGGAUGUAUGUUUAAAUCAUUUUAUAACCAACAAUGAAGUACACAUUUGACACAAACUUUAAACUAAAAAUAAAUAAUAAAAUAACUAAAGUUCAGAUUUUGUUAAUAAACCGCAUUCAAAAUAGUUAAAAAAAGCAUUGAUUUGAUUUAAUAUUAAAUAAUACAAAAAUAUACUAACAUAAAUAUUAUAAAAUCAUCUACUUACCACGAAAAAAAAAGUGUUGCACAUCUGACAGUUAUGUGCCAACUAUCAAUGUAAAGACUCAACAAUUUAUCUAAAAAUAGUAACUUUAAUGGUACCAUUAACAGACCACUUAAAUAAUAAAUUUAAAUUAUUAAAUAAUAUAUUAUAGUGUUAUUAAUGGGGUACCUACAUGUAAUUUGUAACUUCAUAUUUGUUUUUAAAUGUGUGACUUUCAGUAUACAAAGAUAUAAUUGAUUCCAAAUAUUAUUAUUUGAAUAAUAUUUAUUUUUUUAAUUUUUGUCUUUUAGUAUACUAAAAGUUUCAGCUGUUGAGUCAACAAAUGAAUCUUUGAAUAAUAUAACUGUAUAAUCAUCUGGGUAAUAAAAAAUAAUAUUAUUGUGUCAUAGUUUUUUAAUUUUCCAAUAUUUGUUACUAUGAUCGUUUUUUUUAGAGCUUUACAAAGAAAUUUGAUUCAAAGUGAUGGUGAUUCAAAACAAAAAACUCAUUUUAAAAAUUGGAAAAUUGGUGAAAUGGGUCGUCCGAUUAUGAAGACUAUCAAAGCACUAAAAAUUAAUAGAAAUACCACGAAAGAGAAAUGGCAAGAUUUUAAGAUUAUUCACCAUUAUAAAAUUAUAACCGACGCUUUUAAAGUCCCAAAUAAUUUGCUUGAAAAUCCGUGUGAUUACACGCUUUAGUAUCUUUUGUGGAACAAGAAAAUUCUUGGCCCACCAGGAAUGUUUUUUUUUAUGGCCUUGAAUGUAAACAAAUUUCCAGAGUACAGGGAAUUUAUUAUUUGGCUAUGAUCUUUGACAAAAAUUUAAAAUGGAACUUCCAUAUUGGUAAUCUAGUAAUGUGAUUACGCUCGACUGUACAUCAUUUUUUUUAUCUUAAAUCAAUGCUACUAAUGAAAAGUAUUCAAAAUGUAUAUUCAUCACUGUAUCAGGCUGUAUUCCAGUAUGUUAUUAUAGUUUAUAAUAUUGGUGGUUUCACAGAAAAUAAUUUAAAACUACUUAAAUUACAAAAAACAAAAUAAUCAAAAUUUGUCUGCACAAACAUAGCUUUGUUGGUUCUACUAAAAAAGAACCUCCGGUUUUCGAACCUCGGUCUAGAUAGGCGACCUUGCUCCGUAGGCGGGUAGUCAGUUGAUCGCCCAGAACGGUGACCACACAAGGCCGGAUCACCGAACCGGGACGUCUCAAUGUAAAUAAUCUAAAUUGAGAUGUAAUGAUAUAUUGGACGAUUGCUGUUUAAUAUUUAAACGAUAACUGAAUUGUGCCACGCCGUUGUUUUAAUCGCG
rnacentral:lncRNA from 1 species